UCUCAAAAAAAAAAAAAAAAAGAUAUAAUGCAAAUGAAGUUAUUAAAGUAUUACACCUUUUAAUAUUUCAGAACGAAGACUUAUUUAAAACAUUUAUUCUGUUGGGGCACAGGCCUGUGAGCCAGUUAGAGUUGCAGCGGUGGGAACAGUUGGGCUGAACAGAGGACGACAUGUUGCUUUUCGUGGAGCAGGUAGCAUCUGAAGGAGCUGGUUUAAGUCCUAAUGCCAAACUAUGACAAGAAAUUGCUCCUGGGAGUGCUGAUGCUACCCCAGUAACUCAUGGAACUGAAAGCUCUUGACAUGAAACAGCUGCCACCUCGGGUGUUCAUCCUGAGGUUAACGCAGAGCUCUCAGAAGAUAUAUGUAAAGAACAUGAAGUAAUGUGUUCUUCGUCUUGUGAAACCACAAGAAAUGCUACAGGCAUUGAAGAAUCAACCGAUGGGAUGGUUUUAGGACCGGAAGAUCUGAGUUACCAAAUAUGUGAUGUUUCCGGAGAAAACAAUCCAGCAAUUUCUACAGAAGACCGAAAAGAAUGUCUAAAGAAACAAUUAGCAUUCUGUUUUUCACAAGAAAAUUUGUCAAAGGAUCUUUACUUGAUGUCUCAAAUGGAUAGUGAUCAGUUCAUCCCAAUUUGGACAGUUGUUAACUUGGAAGAAAUAAAAAAGUCGACUACAGACCCUGAUGUAAUUAUUGAAGUGUUAAGAUCUUCUCCCAUGGUACAAGUUGAUGAGAAGGGUGAGAAAGUGAGGCCAAGUCAUAAGCGUUGUAUUGUGAUUCUUAGAGGGAUUCCUGAAACAACACCAAUAGAGGAAGUGAAAGCUUUGUUCAAAUUGAAAACUGCUCCAAAGUGAUAAGCUGUGAAUUUGCAUACAGUAGCAGCUGGUAUAUCACUUCCCAGUCAGACACAGAUGCACAACAGGCUUUUAAAUCCUUAAGAAGUUAAAACAUUUCAGGGCGAGCCAAUUAUGGCAAGGAUAAAAGCCACCAACGUUUUUUGCUAAGAAUGGUCACUGAUGAAUGGAUUCUAGUAUCUAUAGCCAGCCCAUUCAAACUCAAGCACAGUAUGCCUCCCCAGACUUUAGGCAGCCUGUAUAUAAUCCUCACCAACAGUACUCGGUCUAUAGCAUUAUUCCUCAGUUUUGGUCUCCAAAUCCUACACCUUACUUUGAAACACCACUGGCCCCCUUUCCCAAUGGUAGUUUUGUGAAUGGCUUUAAUUCACCAGGAUCUUAUAAAACAAAUGCUGCUGCUAUGAAUAUGGGUCGACCAUUCCAAAAAAUAUCUUGCGAAGCCUCAUUUUAGGUCAUCUAGUGGUUCGGAACACUCAACAGAGGACUCUGUGUCAUUGGGAGAUGGACAAUUGAAGAUCUAGUUCAAGAAAUUUUUCACCUGAACAGCAUAACCCUACAGUAACUGGGGAUUAGGAGCAAACUUAACUUCAAAAGGAGACUUCCACUUUGCAGAUGGAACAGAAUGGGGACUAUGGUAGGGGUAGAACUCUUUUCAGAGGUCGAAGACGAUGACAAGAUGACAGGAUCUCAAGACCUCAUCCUUCAACAGUUGAAUCAAAGGCUCCAACACCAAAGUUUGACUUACUAGCUUCAAAUUUUCCACCUUUACCUGGAAGUUCAUCAAGCAUCCCAAGUAAACUCAUUUCGGAGAAUAGGAUAUCUGAUGUUGUUAAAGGCAUCUACAAAGAAAAGGAUAAUGAAGAAUUGAGAGUUGGUUGCCUAGUGCCUGCAGAUGAGCAGACAGAAUGCACUUCUGCCCAGCAACUCAAUAUGAGUACCAGUUCUUCAUGUGCAGCUGAGCUUACUGCAUUAAGCACAACUCAGCAAAAAAAGGAUCUAAUAGAGGAUUCCUCUGUUCAGAAGGAGUGUCCCAACCAGACGACUAUACCAGUUUCUCCUCCAAGUACUACAAAGCCAUUGAGGGCAAGUACUGCUUCACCAUGCAAUAGUAACAUAAAUGCAGCUACAGCUGUGGCUGUACAGGAACCCCGAAAGUUAGGUUAUGCUGAAGUUUGCCAGAAGCCCCCUAAAGAGCCAUCUUCAGUUCUUGUGUAGCCACUAUGGGAACUUCGCUCCAAUGUAGUGUCUCCCACCAAAAACGAAGACGACAGUGAAGCUCCUGAGAAGUCCCUUGAGAAACCACAUGAGAAGUUAGAAGCAAGGGCUAGUAAGGAUUAUUCUGGCUUCUGAGGCAAUACCAUUCCCAGGGGAGCAGAUGGAAAAAUCAGGGAACAGAGAUGCCAGUUUAGUCAUAGGGCUAUACCUCAGGGAGUGACAUGAUGUAAUGGCAAAGAGCAAUAUGUGCCACCCAGAUCACCAAAGUAAAAAACAACAAAACUAUUCAAAAACUUCUUUCUCUUCCCAUUAAACUUGAGCUGUGGCUACACUGAACAGUUUUGGAGGGGAGAGGGUAGCCAGAAAGGAAACAGGAGAAAGUACGUCCUUAAAUCAUUGUGGAUUUUGGAGUUGUGAGUGAUAGGAUCCCAAAAUUCAUCUCUAAUGUUAUUUUUAAAUACUGGAUGAUUUCUAUCUGUCUGUCUGUCUGUCUAUCUAUCCAUUCCUCCAUCCACAUAUAUAAAGUAUAUUUUUUCUAUUUUUGUUUUUGGUUUUAAUUUGCAGAGAUUUGCUGCCAGGAAUCAAUUUUGAUGGUUCAGUUUUAGCUUGGAGGAAAAAAAAUACAUUAUACAUCCUUCAGUAUAGGAGAUGAGGGAGUGAGAGAAAAUAUUUUUUGAAGAAGCAUUUCUGUAAAAUUAGAAAUUACUUUUUAAAAUCUAUUUAAAAUUUGGCUUGGAGAAUGCCAUCUCUGACUAUAUGAUCUUACAUUGCAAAGCAGAUUAGUGGCUGGGGAGCCUGUUGUGGGUGUGAGUGUGUACGAGAGCGAUUGAAGCAAAAUCUGUUGUCAUGUUAGUAAACUGACUUGAAAACUGAAUGUAAAACUUGAGUAGAUUUUUUUUUUUCUAGUUUGAAAUUUAGUCUGUCUUUUUGACCUUACUAAUAUUUCAUUCAACAAGUUGUAACACUGUUAUUUUACUUGAAGAUGUGACUACUAAUCAGUUUGAUGCUCAAGGAAAGAAUGGGGGCUCUUCAAAAAAUUGAAAAUUUCAUCUUGAAUGUCAGCACGUAGGUGAAAUAUAUUUCAGAGGCUUAAACUUCCCUGUGAUUCCCCCCGCUAAAAUGGGAAACCAAUUUUUUUCUUACUCCAUAUGUUACUCUCUGUUGACUGCCCACCCCCAAAAGCAAAAUAACCAACUACUUACUGAAUUGUAUGUUUGUCAUUGCUUUGACCAGUGUAGUCAAGUCAUAUAAAUUGUUCUAAAUUUCAGAAUUGAACGUUGAAGUAUUUACUCUUCUCUUCACACAUUUAGAAUUUUAGAUCCCAAGAUGGUAGGGCAGACUGACCCUACAGUAAUUUAUUUGUUGUCAGUGUUAAAGAUGAAACAUUGUAACUGACUCUGAAGUGUUAAAUCGUGUAGAAGUAAAAUAUUAUUAUUAUUAUUUUAAAGGCUUAAUUUUGGGGGGGACUUAUUUCUGUUUAACAGUGUAUUUAUCACCUUUCUUCCCUCCUCUUCUCCCCCCACACCCAAAAAGUACAGUCUGGAAUUCACUGAAACAGAACCAGCAAGUCAUGAGAUUUUUUAGUAAAAUUGAGAAAGAUGGUUGAAGAAAAUGCAUAAUUUCUCAGUGAAAAAGUUGUAGCUCUCAUAUACUAAAUACACAAGUUUACAUGCUGUUAUUUAGAAAAUGGCUAAAAUAUUAAAAGCCGUAUUGCGUUAAUCUGCUUUAGGUCAUACCAUGUUCAGAGUUCUGUGUAAGGUGGGUUUUAUUUUUCUUUUAAGGGAUAGUUUGUAAUAGUAAGAACUGUCCUGUAUAUUAGAUCACAUGUAUACAAAUCGAAACUGUAAAUUGUAAACACUGGAAAGCACCAUUGUGACAUAGAUUAAACAUCUUAGUAAUAUAUUAAAGUGAAUGUAAAUGGUGGUUAAAAUUACAUUACUGUGAAAUUUACCUUCCAACUCUAAGUUAAGCUUUGGAGAUACGUAUUAGCGAUGAACUGUUAAGAGCUUUGAAAACGCUGUACAUGUCUGUACAAGCCAGAAUUACUAUUUCUUUGACUUAUUAUUAGCGUGGCAGUUGCUUUUGAUUUGGCUGUUUUAUGACAUGGUAUACUACAUUUACUCAGUUUGAAAUUAUUCAUUUCUACACACUAUUUUUUUAAAAAAUCACCUACUAGGUGAAACAUACAAUAAAAUUACCUGUGCUGAAAUCUGGGGGAAGUUUAGGUCCUUUAAAAAAAUGUAUUAAUCAUUGACUACAUCUAUGAUAAAAGUGCUUAUUUUGGUUUACUAAGAUAAUACAGUUGGUGGAAAUGAUAAACAGUUUAAGUGUUAACAUCCUUUGAAUGCAUUGGAUUUCAGAGAAUAAACAUCUUGUAAAAAUAAAAAAAAAUUAUUCUGUUGGCCUCACUUUUAGAUGGGCAAAUUCCUUGGUGCUAGCCAUUCAAAAUUGUGUGAAGGGCAGUAUCUGACAUAAUUAUAAUAUUUAGGGAAAGCUUUUGUUGUUUGACCUGACAACAAGUUCAGGUGUUUUUUUUUUCCCCCUCCAAGGGCUUUUAAUAGAAUUGCUUUGGUCUAAGAAUUCAUGAUAGACUAAAUGAAAUCCUUCAGUCUGCUGGAUUUAGUGAGACCAUAAAUUAGCCUCAUGGUGCAUGUUCUUUCUUUUCCCUCUUGCAUUUGACACAAUUCAUUGAAAUGAUGACUACCUAAAAGUGGUUAGAAUUUUCUGUGUGGAAAACUUGAAGAGAAAAGCUUUUCAAAGUAAAGUGUUUGUUUCUUUCAUCAUGGUGUCAUCUGCUUUUGAUCUUUUCCAUUGUGCUUAUGCUUAAAACUAGAUUUCAAUAUAUGUUCCCUAAUGGUAAAAGUUUAUAUGCAAAAUAGGUUUUCUGGCAUUUUUUACUAUCACAUAUAGAGUGAAGCUCGUGGUGACCCAGUUUUUCUCAUGGGGCUUGAGGAAGGGGUGCGGACAGUUGGACCUGCCUGUAGACCUCCCUCUCUGCUCUUUAACUGACAUAGAAGUGGUAGGAAGGAAACCUAAGCAGGUGUCAUUGGCAUGCCAGUGUGGAGUAGAGAGAGGCAGUGUUCAUAGCAGCUGGGGGACCUGUGUCAUGGGGAGCAGGGCCCAGCAGCUCAGGUUGGCCUUGGGGACAGGUUCCUGACAUGAGCAAAUUCUUGAGUAACUUUAAUUCUAGCUAGAUUUCUAAAGACAAGAUCUUCAUACACAGAAAAGCUGGGGAGUGGACUGUAUUUCACCUCAGGGGCCUGUGGUUAUAGACUUACGGAAACAUGAGGAGCCACAGUAACAGCAAAUGGGACUUAUCCAUGGGUGCCAGAGGAUUUGGCCAGUGCUACUCACAUUCUUCCCACCUGAGGUUAGGGCUGGUCUGGAAGUCAUGGGCAGACCCUGGGGUGAGGUCAAGGAGCUCUAGCUGGAACCAGGCAGAGCCGGGCCUCCUAGUAAGGGGCAGGGAGCACUUCCCCAAGUGGGUCCUGUCUUGAAUCAUGUUGGUGCUUGUAUCAGGGGAGGCAGCCUUUCCAGCUUCCUCUGGUCUGGGGAGGCCAUUUUGAUGGGGAGAAGAGAAUUGAAGCUUCUUAUAUGAAAUUCAGCCAUUUCUAAGUGUUGAGACACACAAUUGCAUGGAGCUGCCAUGUGCAGGGCGCACAUUCAAAUUUCGGGAGAAUCUAAUAUAAUCUAAUGCAAUAUAAGCUGUGGUUCUAUAAAAUUUUGCAUUUGUUUUUAGGGCUUUUGCAGCUAUUGGGGGCUUUCACAGGAUGUGAAUUUUGUGUUUUUUGGUUGGGUUGUGUUAUUUUGGGAACAUACAUGAAACUCAGUCACAUUUUUAGGAUAUUGUAUAUGUGCCAAGGGAAAUGUAUGUUUUUCCGCCUGA